CUGGCGGCGUGCUUAACACAUGCAAGUCGAACGAUGAUCCCAGCUUGCUGGGGGAUUAGUGGCGAACGGGUGAGUAACACGUGAGUAACCUGCCCUUGACUCUGGGAUAAGCCUGGGAAACUGGGUCUAAUACCGGAUACGACCAUCUGGCGCAUGUCAUGGUGGUGGAAAGCUUUUGUGGUUUUGGAUGGACUCGCGGCCUAUCAGCUUGUUGGUGGGGUAAUGGCCUACCAAGGCGACGACGGGUAGCCGGCCUGAGAGGGUGACCGGCCACACUGGGACUGAGACACGGCCCAGACUCCUACGGGAGGCAGCAGUGGGGAAUAUUGCACAAUGGGCGCAAGCCUGAUGCAGCGACGCCGCGUGAGGGAUGACGGCCUUCGGGUUGUAAACCUCUUUCAGUAGGGAAGAAGCCGUAAGGUGACGGUACCUGCAGAAGAAGCGCCGGCUAACUACGUGCCAGCAGCCGCGGUAAUACGUAGGGCGCAAGCGUUAUCCGGAAUUAUUGGGCGUAAAGAGCUCGUAGGCGGUUUGUCGCGUCUGCUGUGAAAGACCGGGGCUCAACUCCGGUUCUGCAGUGGGUACGGGCAGACUAGAGUGCAGUAGGGGAGACUGGAAUUCCUGGUGUAGCGGUGAAAUGCGCAGAUAUCAGGAGGAACACCGAUGGCGAAGGCAGGUCUCUGGGCUGUAACUGACGCUGAGGAGCGAAAGCAUGGGGAGCGAACAGGAUUAGAUACCCUGGUAGUCCAUGCCGUAAACGUUGGGCACUAGGUGUGGGGGACAUUCCACGUUUUCCGCGCCGUAGCUAACGCAUUAAGUGCCCCGCCUGGGGAGUACGGCCGCAAGGCUAAAACUCAAAGGAAUUGACGGGGGCCCGCACAAGCGGCGGAGCAUGCGGAUUAAUUCGAUGCAACGCGAAGAACCUUACCAAGGCUUGACAUGAACCGGUAAUACCUGGAAACAGGUGCCCCGCUUGUGGUC
rnacentral:rRNA from 1 species